CCCUUAGAUGUCCUGGGCCGCACGCGCGCUACACUGAUGCAUUCAACGAGUAUUUCCUUGGCCGAGAGGCCUGGGCAAUCUUUUAAACCUGCAUCGUGAUAGGGAUAGAUUAUUGCAAUUAUUAAUCUUGAACGAGGAAUUCCUAGUAAACGCAAAUCAUCAAUUUGCAUUGAUUACGUCCCUGCCCUUUGUACACACCGCCCGUCGCACCUACCGAUUGAAUGGUCCGGUGAAAUCUCGGGAUUGUGACCAGUUCACUUUAUUGGGAGUUGGCUGCGAGAACUUGCUUAAACCUUAUCAUUUAGAGGAAGGUGAAGUCGUAACA
rnacentral:rRNA from 1 species